rnacentral:lncRNA from 1 species
CUUUGUUUUUAUUUUUGAAUUUGUUUGAUAUUGUUUUUAUACUUUUGUUUUUAAUUCGUGAUGUCAAUCGGAGCAAAUGAUAUGAAUGCAUUGCAAGUGCUUUGUUUUCUCCACCGUAUGUAUGUUAUUUGAUUUAAUAAAUGUUACAGAGAGACACGACUGGUCUUUGUGGUCAGUCUUUCAUAGGUCUUCCAGUCGGACCUAUUUAAUACAUGCAAGGA